rnacentral:rRNA from 1 species
GAACGAACGCUGGCGGCGCGCUUAAUACAUGCAAGUCGAACGAGAAGGUGUAGCAAUACACUUGUAAAGUGGCGAACGGGUGAGGAAUACAUGGGUAACCUACCCUCGAGUGGGGAACAACCAGCCGAAAGGUUGGCUAAUACCGCGUACGCUUCCGGGUCUUCGGAUUCGGAAGGAAAGUCAUACCGUGGGUAUGACGCUCAAGGAUGGGCUCAUGUCCUAUCAGCUUGUUGGUAGGGUAACGGCCACCAAGGCUCCGACGGGUAGCUGGUCUGAGAGGACGAUCAGCCACACUGGCACUGCGACACGGGCCAGACUCCUACGGGAGGCAGCAGUGGGGAAUCUUGCGCAAUGGGCGAAAGCCUGACGCAGCGACGCCGCGUGAGGGAUGACGGCCU